rnacentral:rRNA from 1 species
GGGCCCGCACAAGCAGUGGAGCAUGUGGUUUAAUUCGACGCAACGCGAAGAACCUUACCAGCGUUUGACAUGGGAAGUGCCGGUUACAGAAUGGUAACCUUCAGUUCGGCUGGCUUCCACACAGGUGCUGCAUGGCUGUCGUCAGCUCGUGUCGUGAGAUGUUGGUUAAGUCCCGCAACGAGCGCAACCCUUAUCGUUAGUUACUAACAGUUCGGCUGAGGACUCAUAGCGAAACUGCCGGUGAUAAGCCGGAGGAAGGUGGGGAUGACGUCAAGUCCUCAUGGCCUUACACGCUGGGCUACACACGUGCUACAAUGGUAACGUACAACGGGACGCAAUACCGCGAGGUGGAGCAAA